UACGAAGGUCCCAAGCGUUGUUCGGAAUCACUGGGCGUAAAGGGUGCGUAGGCGGUUUGGUAAGUCAGAUGUGAAAUCCCGGGGCUCAACCCCGGAACUGCAUCCGAUACUGCCAGACUAGAGGACUGGAGAGGUGACUGGAAUUCUCGGUGUAGCAGUGAAAUGCGUGGAGAUCGAGAGGAACACUCGUGGCGUAAGCGAGUCACUGGACAGUAUCUGACGGCUGAGGCACGAAGGCCAAGGGUAGCGAAAGGG
rnacentral:rRNA from 1 species